CAUUAAGAAGCUAUGAAACAGCACUAGCCUUUUAAGCUAGAGAAAGAGGAGCACUUCUCCUCCUUAAUGA
rnacentral:tRNA from 1 species